UACAGAGGGUGCAAGCGUUGUUCGGAAUUAUUGGGCGUAAAGGGCGCGUAGGCGGUGCGGUAAGUCUGUAGUGAAAUCUCUGGGCUCAACUCAGAGUCUGCUAUAGAAACUGGCGAGCUAGAGUACUAAAGAGGAUCGCGGAAUUCCCGGUGUAGAGGUGAAAUUCGUAGAUAUCGGGAGGAACACCGGUGGCGAAGGCGGCGAUCUGGGUAGAUACUGACGCUGAGGUGCGAAAGCGUGGGGAGCAAACAGG
rnacentral:rRNA from 1 species